rnacentral:lncRNA from 1 species
AUGGAACACUACAUAACUCUUCUCUCUAUCUUCCCUCUCAAAACCCUAGCGCAGCCAUGUCUGAAAUGGAGGUUGCUUGAAGCGGAUUUUACGGCAGCGGAUAAACACUAAUCAAAUGAUUCUUCUUCCUCCGAUUAUACCUUAAUCAAAUGAUUUCUUCAUUCGCCUCUCCAAGCUCCAACCUUUUCAAAACACAAACACAAUUAGGGUUUCUUCUCCAUCUCUCUGCCGCUUCUCUAUUCUCCAUGGCUCUUAGAUGCUCCUCCGUCAAUGUGUGACCUAAAAGUAGAAACAUGCUCCUUUUUCAUCAUACAACAUCGCAAACCCUAAUUCUUCAAGCUGAGAUACUUUGUGUCAUAAUACAACAACGCAAACCCUAAUAUUACGGAUUUUCGAUGUGUUGGUGAUGAUGUUAGGGUGAAUACAACCAUCGGACGAUUGGAGUAUGUGAUGGUGGUCUUACAGCAGAUCUAGGGUUUAAUGGUGAUUCCAGGAGACGGCUAGGACUAGGCUUAUGGUGCGAGAUAGGAAGGGCGGCUCAUCAUGGAGGUGGUGUUGGCCAACAAGAUUUUGGUUGCAUCUUAUAUGGUGGAAAGAAGCAAACCGAUUGAAAAGGUUUUCCAGCAAAGCAUUUGGUUCCCUCAGCUCAAUUUAUACUCUCCUAUACUUUGUUAAAGUCACAUUUAGAUUAGCCAGCUUGAUCUAAGAGGUAUUUAAAUUUUUGCUUUAAAUGUCAUCCAGUUCCUUUUUAUUUGGCUUUAUAACUUUCAACCAUUUUUCUUUAAUCUUUUGAGGAUUGUUUAGAAUUGGAAGGGGUGAUAGGCAGGUUGGAUAACUGGCUUUGAUUAGCAAGUUUUACGCAGGUUAUUAUCUUUGGCUAUACUCUCUUUAAGCUCCGGUGUAUCUGGCUGCCAUUCUUGAAUAGGUCGCUGCUGAUGGAAGAAGGUGUGGUAGUACUCUGGCGGUGGAAGCGGUGCUGGCGUGAAAGUUUACAGGGUCCGGUACUACGGAGUGGCCGUGGAUGAAGCCGUUGAGGGAUGGUUGAAGACUGACACAGUAGAUAUGGUUCAACGAAGGCACGCAGCAGGCCGUCACGCGACCUACAGACCGGACGACACCCGUGAGUGGCGAUGCGAUUUGGGUUGAAACUUUUGCGAAUUCAUGUCUGGAGUAAAUUCGUUCAUUUUCAAAGUUUCUCUCCGAGCUGGACUUCUUGCUUAGUUUUGCUGACCUGGCUGCUAGCAGCCCCACCCCGUAAACGAGAUCCGAUAUCACACCACGGAUACGUAAGAUAUUAUAUUGGAAGAAGUAGACACCCUUGUGUGGAAGCUCAAGAUUGGGUGAAUUUUAUACCAAACGACUGCAAACUUGUGAGGGGAAAGAGUUGGUUUCAAAUUAUCACCGGGCCUAACAUGGGAGGAAAAUCCACAUUUAUACGCCAGGUUGAAGAAGAUAGAAUAUGGAGGUGGCAAGAUGGUCGGGUUGAAAACAGAAUGUCCAGGUCGGUUGAAGAAAUCUUUAACGAUUUGUGAUUUUUUCUCAUUCAUGUAUUUCAAUUAUUUAGUGUACUCUAAUAUUUGCAUUAGUAGUUUAACAUUUAUAUAAUUAAAAUAUUUGUGUCAAAUUUUAGGCAAGUGUUUUGUUUUAAGUUGAUUUGUUUAUGUGUGUAAAUGUCUUUAAUAUGGGGACUAUUUCCUGUUAAUGUUAUAUCACAAUAAUAAGAAAGUGUUGUUUGUUUUUUGAACUAGGGCUGAUGUUUGAAUGUUUGGAACUACUUACUGCAUUUAAAAUGAAUUUGUACAUAUUUUUGAAUGUUUUGGAACUACUUACUGCAUUGAAUUUAAUAGCAAGUACUGGUGUACUGGAAAUAAUAUAAUAGUGAUGUGAAGUUUACAA